ensembl:lncRNA GNRHR2 gonadotropin releasing hormone receptor 2 (pseudogene)
AUCUUCGUUCCCUGCAGAACCUUGACAGUUGAACAAGUGACCUCCUCCAGAACAGAUGGAGAGUCUCCAGAAGCAGAGGCUUUAGUGAACGAAAUUCGCAAUAAUCAGCUCCAGAUCCUGAAAAGGAGGGCGAAGAAUCAGUGGCCAAAGCUAACCGCUUCAUACCCACACUUCAUCCUCCUCAGUUUCUCUCCAGGCCACCAUGUCUGCAGGCAACGGCACCCCUUGGGAUGCCACCUGGAAUAUCACUGUUCAAUGGCUGGCUGUGGACAUCGCAUGUCGGACACUGAUGUUCCUGAAACUAAUGGCCACGUAUUCUGCAGCUUUCCUGCCUGUGGUCAUUGGAUUGGACCGCCAGGCAGCAGUACUCAACCCGCUUGGAUCCCGUUCAGGUGUAAGGAAACUUCUGGGGGCAGCCUGGGGACUUAGUUUCCUGCUUGCCUUCCCCCAGGGAUCUAGAACUAGAAAUACCAUUUGACCCAGCCAUCCCAUUACUGGGUAUAUACCCAAAGGACUAUAAAUCAUGCUGCUAUAAAGACACAUGCACACAUGUUUAUUGCGGCACUAUUCACAACAGCAAAGACUUGGAACCAACCCAAAUGUCUAAUAAUGAUAGACUGGAUUAAGAAAAUGUGGCACAUAUACACCAUGGAAUACUAUGCAGCCGUAAAAAAUGAUGAGUUCAUGUCCUUUGUAGGGACAUGGAUGAAAUUGGAAAUCAUCAUUCUCAGUAAACUAUUGCAAGGACAAAAAACCAAACACCGCAUGUUCUCACUCAUAGAUGGGAAUUGAACAAUGAGAACACAUGGACACAGGAAGGGGAACAUCACACUCUGGGGACUGUUGGGGGGUGGGGGGAGGGGGGAGGGAUAGCAUUAGGAGAUAUACCUAAUGCUAAAUGACGAGUUAAUGGGUGCAGCACACCAGCAUGGCACAUGUAUACAUAUGUAACUAACCUGCACAUUGUGCACAUGUACCCUAAAACUUAAAGUAUAAUAAUAAUAAUAAUAAUAAAAGAGCCUGCCUUGUAAAAACA